UACGGGGGGGGCAAGCGUUGUUCGGAAUUACUGGGCGUAAAGGGCUCGUAGGCGGCCAACUAAGUCAGACGUGAAAUCCCUCGGCUUAACCGGGGAACUGCGUCUGAUACUGGAUGGCUUGAGGUUGGGAGAGGGAUGCGGAAUUCCAGGUGUAGCGGUGAAAUGCGUAGAUAUCUGGAGGAACACCGGUGGCGAAGGCGGCAUCCUGAACCAAUUCUGACGCUGAGGAGCGAAAGCCAGGGGAGCAAACGGG
rnacentral:rRNA from 1 species